rnacentral:misc_RNA from 1 species
GUGAAUCAUCAAAUUUUUGAACGCAAAUUGCACUCUCCUCGGAGAGUAUGCCUGUUUGAGGGUCAGCCUAUAAAAAAUCGACAUUGUUGCUGUUAUUUAAUGGUGACUUUCGUCGGAGAUUGGGUUAUCUUAAACCUUUUUUUUUUUUGGUUUAAGCGGCUUAAAAUUUUCUUUACGAUUCCACGAACGUUUCUAAGAUUUUACUUCUUACACGUUUAAGUUAUCGAUCUUUAUUAGACUUGGCCUUUUCAUCGGAUCACGUCCAUAA